AAAGGGAGACCUAAUUCGGGUAGGAGACGAAAAAAAAGUAGUCCCUACCAAGAAUCAAUCCCAAAAGGUCGGAGCGAGGCGAAAUUGGCUUUCAAACUAGGUUCUGGGUUCACACAAGACCUGAAUCAGGAACAAGGGCUAUUAGCUCAGGUGGUUAGAGCGCACCCCUGAUAAGGGUGAGGUCCCUGGUUCGAGUCCAGGAUGGCCCACCUGCACAGGUGGCAAAAACAAAGAAAAAAAGCUCCGAAUCAGCACCUUAUCUUACUUAUAUAGUAAGAGAGAAUGCUGGCUCUGAGUUCAGAGUCCAGAGGAACCUUGAAAACUGCAUAGAGCUAGGUGAAAAAGCCAAAAAAGAAGACCGCAAG
rnacentral:tRNA from 1 species